AUGGCGCCGCCGGGCGACAUGGAAGCCACGCCGUCGGAGCAGCCGGAGCUCCAGGACGAGCUCCUCGAGGAAAUCCUCCUCCGGCUAACCACGGCGGCCGACCUCGCCCGCGCCUCGACGGCCUGUCCUACCCUGCGUCGCGUCAUCACCGACCACUCCUUCCUCCGCCGCUUCCGCACCCUCCACCCGCCGCCUCUCCUCGGCAUAAUUUCCGUCACCUUCCGCCCGGCCCAGCACCCCCAUCCCUCCGCCGCCGCCGCCCGCGCCUUCGCCGCCGCGGAGGUCGAUUUCUGGUGCUCCUUCCUCCCCUCCGUCGACCGUUGGCGCCACCGCCACUUCCGUGACGGCCGCGCCCUCUUCUCCGGCGUCCCCGAGGGAAGCAGCUACGCUCCCGACGAUUACGAUCCCCGCGACUUCGCCGGGGAGUUCGCUGUCUGCGACCCCCUGUACCGGCGGUACCGUCUGCUACCUCCCAUUUCCGACGAACUAGCGGUGCUAGUUCAUCAGCCGGAUAUCGUCAACUUCGAGCCCUUCCUUGCUCCUCCUGGCGAUGAUGAAGACCCUACUUCAUUCAGAGUAAUGUGCCUGGCGCAGUGCACAACCAAGCUGGUCCUCUUCGUCUUCUCGUCGGGUGCCGGCGAAUGGCAUGCUGUUACCUUUGACGGCUGGAUCGCUUUGGUGACAAGUCCUGGCAACCAGGUUCCAGACGCUCACUUGACAUGGGCCUCAGAGCGCUACUAUGUGCACAAAUGCUUCUGUUGGGCUGUUUCUCCGUCGAACAAGUUGCUCAUGCUUGACACGCGCACGAUGGAGUUCUCUGCUGUCGACCUCCCACGUCAACAUGUCCCCGGCCAAAUGAUCCCAAUGAUGGCUUUUGUAGAGGCAGGGGAAGGAAGGCUUGGGAUGUUUACUCUCAUGAAUCGAAUUGAUAAUGACAGGUAUUUCCUUCGCUAUACCAAGUUGCAAAAAGAUGGAGAUGGUGCAAACAAGUGGCAAUCAGUGGUGAUAAUCUCCUUGCCUUUGGGUUACCGAUAUACGAUCAUGGAUGUAGCUGGGGGAUACUUACUCCUGCAAGGGAUUCCAGAAAACCUGCAUUCGGCCCCCUUGCCGGAAAGGCCAGAUUUCGACUGUUUUUCACUGAAUCUCCAGACAUUGCAGCUUGAGUGGUUCUGUGCAAAUAAGUACAUGAUUGGGGGUGCCCCUCUGUAUGCUGGUUUCCCACCAUCCUUGACGCCACCAACUGUUUGA
rnacentral:rRNA from 1 species